rnacentral:rRNA from 1 species
CGGGACACGUGGUAUCCUGUCUGAAUAUGGGGGGACCAUCCUCCAAGGCUAAAUACUCCUGACUGACCGAUAGUGAACCAGUACCGUGAGGGAAAGGCGAAAAGAACCCCGGCGAGGGGAGUGAAAAAGAACCUGAAACCGUGUACGUACAAGCAGUGGGAGCACGCUUAGGCGUGUGACUGCGUACCUUUUGUAUAAUGGGUCAGCGACUUAUAUUCUGUAGCAAGGUUAACCGAAUAGGGGAGCCGAAGGGAAACCGAGUCUUAACUGGGCGUUAAGUUGCAGGGUAUAGACCCGAAACCCGGUGAUCUAGCCAUGGGCAGGUUGAAGGUUGGGUAACACUAACUGGAGGACCGAACCGACUAAUGUUGAAAAAUUAGCGGAUGACUUGUGGCUGGGGGUGAAAGGCCAAUCAAACCGGGAGAUAGCUGGUUCUCCCCGAAAGCUAUUUAGGUAGCGCCUCGUGAAUUCAUCUCCGGGGGUAGAGCACUGUUUCGGCAAGGGGGUCAUCCCGACUUACCAACCCGAUGCAAACUGCGAAUACCGGAGAAUGUUAUCACGGGAGACACACGGCGGGUGCUAACGUCCGUCGUGAAGAGGGAAACAACCCAGACCGCCAGCUAAGGUCCCAAAGUCAUGGUUAAGUGGGAAACGAUGUGGGAAGGCCCAGACAGCCAGGAUGUUGGCUUAGAAGCAGCCAUCAUUUAAAGAAAGCGUAAUAGCUCACUGGUCGAGUCGGCCUGCGCGGAAGAUGUAACGGGGCUAAACCAUGCACCG